rnacentral:rRNA from 1 species
CCUAGGGGAGGCAGCAGUGGGGAAUAUUGCACAAUGGGGGAAACCCUGAUGCAGCGACGCCGCGUGCGUGAAGAAGUAAUUCGUUAUGUAAAGCUCUAUCAGCAGGGAAGAAAAUGACGAUACCUGAGUAAGAAGCCCCGGCUAACUACGUGCCAGCAGCCGCGGUAAUACGUAGGGGGCACGCGUUCUCCGGAUUUACUGGGUGUAAAGGUAGCGUUGACGGCAGUGAGUUAAGUGAGCGGUGGAAUGCCCCCGCUCAACGGGGUGAAGUGCCAUUGAUACUGCCUUGCUGGAAUGCGGAAGCCGUGGGAGGAAUGUGUGGUGUAGCGGUGAAAUGCAUAGAUAUCACACAGAACACCGAUUGCGAAGGCAUCUCACGAAUCCGCGAUUGACGCUGAUGCACGAAAGCGUGGGUAUCAAACAGGAUUAGAUACCCUUGUAGUC